CCCAGCUAUUUUUUUUAAAUAAAUGACUUUCUAAGGUAUCUACAUUUAUUCAGUCCUGUGUUUCUGUUAGGACAUCUUCUAUUACAAAAUCUACUAGGAAAUCUAGAGGCCUCCAAGGACCUGGCUGGGCUUCAACUCUGUGUGAGUUUGAGAUGAGUAAACCAGACUGAAGGACCUUGCCCAAGGCCUGCUUCAGCUGCCAGCCACCCACACUUGCCAAGAGAAAGGAAAGUGGCUUUGUCACCUCCUGAGGGACUGCCUUUGACAUCAGAAAACCACCCCAAGCCCUGGCACCAGCAGAGCUGGGCUGCAUCUGACUACCAUUAGCAGCUGUCCUUCAGAAGGAGGAGAUCCACCUGUCUGGAUCUCAGUGUCCUCAUUCGUGGAAUAAAAGCUCUGGAAUAAGAUCCACCCUGAUUUCAGCGGGCGCUCCUGGGUCUUGUAUGCACUAGGUGCUCUGAAUGCUUGGCAACUGGAAUGGGUUAGCCUGGAGGCAUUUAGACUGUCCUUCUACAACCACAGAAGAGCCAUCACUGGUAGAGAGAUCCUUGGCGCAGUUAAGCAGAGAUCUUCUCAGAAGAGCUUUUGAACAAAUGAAGUUGUUCGGAAUGGCCUUGUUAAAAUGACUCACUUGUCAAAACAAUUGGAUGUGUUGGAAGGCUGGGUUGGAAGACAAGAUGUCUGAGAAGCUGUCCUGCUGCAUGAGGAGUUUCACUGCUACACACCUAAUCUCCCGGUCCUGUGUUUUUGGCCUCCAGCUUACUUCGUGAACAUAAUAAAGGAAAGGCAUUUUCUCUUGUGC